GUGGAAAACAGGGGCUAAUACCGUAUAACAAUGACAACCGCCAGGUUGUUAUUUAAAAGAUGGUUCUGCUAUCACUAAGAGAUGGUCCCGCGGUGCAUUAGCUAGUUGGUAAGGUAAUGGCUUACCAAGGCGAUGAUGCAUAGCCGAGUUGAGAGACUGAUCGGCCACAAUGGGAGUGAGACACGGCCCAUACUCCUACGGGAGGCAGCAGUAGGGAAUCUUCCACAAUGGGCGAAAGCCUGAUGGAGCAACGCCGCGUGUGUGAUGAAGGGUUUCGGCCCGUAAAACACUGUUGUAAGAGAAGAAUGACAUUGAGAGUAACUGUUCAAUGUGUGACGGUAUCUUACCAGAAAGGGACGGCUAAC
rnacentral:rRNA from 1 species